rnacentral:rRNA from 1 species
UUAAAUGAAUUGACGGGACCGCACAAGCGGUGGAUGAUGUGGUUUAAUUCGAUGCAACGCGAAAACCUUACCCACCUUUGACAUGGCAGGAAUCCUAAAGAGAUUUGGGAGUGCUCGAAAGAGAACCUGCACACAGGUGCUGCAUGGCUGUCGUCAGCUCGUGUCGUGAGAUGUUGGGUUAAGUCCCGCAACGAGCGCAACCCUUGCCAUUAGUUGCUACGAAAGGGCACUCUAAUGGGACUGCCGGUGACAAACCGGAGGAAGGUGGGGAUGACGUCAAGUCCUCACGGCCCUUAUAGGUGGGGCUACACACGUCAUACAAUGGCCGGUACAGAGGGUAGCCAACCCGCGAGGGGGAGCCAAUCCCACAAAGCCGGUCGUAGUCCGGAUCGCAGUCUGCAACUCGACUGCGUGAAGUCGGAAUCGCUAGUAAUCGCGGAUCAGCAUGUCGCGGUGAAUACGUUCCCGGGCCUU